UACGAAGGGGCUAGCGUUGUUCGGAAUUACUGGCGUAAAGCGCACGUAGGCGGGUCGUUAAGUUAGAGGUGAAAUCCCGGGCUCAACCCGGAACUGCCUUGAUACUGGCGAUCUAGAGGUCGAGAGAGGUGAGUGGAAUUCCGAGUGUAGAGGUGAAUUCGUAGAUAUUCGGAAGAACACCAGUGGCGAAGCGGCUCACUGGCUCGAUACUGACGCUGAGUGCGAAGCGUGGAGCA
rnacentral:rRNA from 1 species